ensembl:piRNA 21ur-1263 ncRNA
UGCUGCUGACUUUUUAGUUGC